UACGAAGGUGGCAAGCGUUGUUCGGAUUUACUGGGCGUACAGGGAGCGUAGGCGGUUGGAUAAGCCCUCCGUGAAAUCUCCAGGCUUAACCUGGAAAGUGCAGAGGGGACUGUUCAGCUAGAGGAUGGGAGAGGAGCGCGGAAUUCCCGGUGUAGCGGUGAAAUGCGCAGAGAUCGGGAGGAACACCCGUAGCGAAGGAGGCACUCUGGGCCGGUACUGACGCUGAGGAGCGAAAGCGUGGGGAGCAAACAGG
rnacentral:rRNA from 1 species